AAAUAAUCAAAUCAACUUUGGCUACCUUAAGGUUGAAUAGUCCACGCUAGCUAGUCUUAAGAUUGAAAGCCUUGCCUUACAUAGUAUUCAAAAUAUGUCACACGUAGAUCCAAUGUAACAGUUAUGGAAUAUUGGCCAACCAUGAUCAUUCAUUAGCACCUUAAUUACUUUCUUAAGUUGUGAAUACUAAUUAUUACGUCAUUA
rnacentral:lncRNA from 1 species